rnacentral:lncRNA from 1 species
GGAAGGCAAGAUUGCCUUUCCCUGUCUCACUGAGCCUCCCCACCCCCGCCCCAGCACACCCUCUGCUGACAGGAGACCUCACAGCAUCUUAGAUGAGGCCGAGUGCACUGAGGCAGUACCUCUGAAGUGGCAGAACGAGGGUUCUAGUUCAUCCUGGGCAGUGAGCUGAAGGAGCAUUAGUGGGGCAUCCCCUAGUGGUCUGUGCUCUGCUUCCUUUGGCCUCAGCCCUGGAGGAGAGGCCCACAAGAAAGUGCAGAGAGCCGUCAGUCUGUCUCUCCCAUGACUGCAGCCCCAGACAAGCCCUCCUUGAGUUGGAGAGACUUGGGCAAGGCAUGUUGCUGGGGCUGGUUUGGGGGCCUUUUUUAACUCUUCCUUUUUGAUUUUAGGUCACUACAGUGGGAUGCUGUCCCCUCCUCUAGGCCACAUACCCACCCACACCAGUCUAGCCCAAGUAAAUAGCGAAGGGAACACAUGCACAAAGCAGUCCUGGGUAGAAAGGGCCACAUCUAGAACCUCCAGCUCCCACCCCCAUAAACACCUCUGUCCCUGAGGGCAGGUGCACAAAUGUCUGUAAAUCCUCAAAGCCUUUACUUGUCCCAGGUUCCCACUCCUUCAGACGAGGAGGCCCCGGCCUCAUCUCCAUGGUCUCACUGUGUGCUUGGGGAGCCCUUUUCAUGGGGACCAACCCAGGACCUCCACUAACCCCUCUCUUCUCCUUUCAGCGGCCGC